AAGGAUCAUUACAGAGUUCAUGCCCUCACGGGUAGAUCUCCCACCCUUGAAUAUUAUACCUUAGUUGCUUUGGCAGGCCGGGGCAACCCCCGGGGCUUCGGCCUCGGUGCGCCUGCCAGAGGAAACAAACUCUGUUUUUAGUGAUGUCUGAGUACUAUAUAAUAGUUAAAACUUUCAACAACGGAUCUCUUGGUUCUGGCAUCGAUGAAGAACGCAGCGAAAUGCGAUAAGUAAUGUGAAUUGCAGAAUUCAGUGAAUCAUCGAAUCUUUGAACGCACAUUGCGCCCCGUGGUAUUCCGCGGGGCAUGCCUGUUCGAGCGUCAUUUCAACCCAUCAAGCUUCGGCUUGGUCUUGGGGCCUGCGAUUCCGCAGCCUCUAAACCCAGUGGCGGUGCCUCCGAGCUCUGAGCGUAGUAAUUCUUCUCGCUAUAGGGCCUCGGUGGUGUCUUGCCAGCAACCCCCAAUUUUUUACAGGUUGACCUCGGAUCAGGUAGGGAUACCCGCUGAACUUAAGCAUAUCAAUAAGCGGAGGAAAAGAAACCAACAGGGAUUACCUCAGUAACGGCGAGUGAAGCGGUAACAGCUCAAAUUUGAAAUCUGCCGCAAGGCCGAGUUGUAAUUUGUAGAAGAUGCUUUGGGUAUGGCCCCGGUCUAAGUUCGUUGGAACACGACGUCAUAGAGGGUGAGAAUCCCGUAUGUGACUGGGUGCUUUUGCCUAUGUAAAGCUCUUUCGACGAGUCGAGUUGUUUGGGAAUGCAGCUCAAAAUGGGUGGUAUAUUUCAUCUAAAGCUAAAUAUUGGCCAGAGACCGAUAGCGCACAAGUAGAGUGAUCGAAAGAUGAAAAGCACUUUGGAAAGAGAGUUAAACAGUACGUGAAAUUGUUGAAAGGGAAGCGCUUGCAACCAGACUUGCACGCUGUUGAUCAUCCAGGCUUCUGUCUGGUGCACUCGGCAGCGUUCAGGCCAGCAUCGGUUCUGGUGGUGGGAUAAAGGCCUUGGGAAUGUAGCUUCUUUCGGGGAGUGUUAUAGCCCUCGGUGCAAUGCCGCCUAUCGGGACCGAGGACCGCGCUUCGGCUAGGAUGCUGGCGUAAUGGUUGUAAGCGACC
rnacentral:rRNA from 1 species